UCUGGGCCAAACAGGGAGGACACUUACAGAGCCUGCCCACCCAGGCAUAGUUGGGGGGGCCAGCACCCAAUCCCUGCAUAAAGGGACUAAACACUCCUCCUGCACCCCCCAUGGAGAGCACCCCGCUGCGCCUCGGCCCUUACUCUCUUCAUCGAAGGGAACAGGUCGGCAGUAGACGACAAGCUCGGACAGUUCAAGGGCGAUCUUCUUCCUCCGCUCCAUCAUCUUCCCCUCAGUGAGCUGGUGGCACACACGAGGGCGCUGUAGCUCCAGGCAGAGCCCCACCGAGAAGAAAGCAGCCCCUGCCAGCCUUGGGCAGUCCACACGAGGCUCACAUGCUGCCCACCCAGCACCCCGCAGACUCCGGCAGGCACUCACCCUGGCAUCUGCGGUCUGGGCCACUUCACGGAUCUUUUUCACCCAGUCCUGCAGCUCCUCCUGUGAGUCGGCAGCAACAUCCAGGGACCACUGCGCCACCGAUGCCAUACUGAUGGAGAAGACGAAUGGCCGAUUGUUCUUGCCCUCAGGACGGAUGGCUGGGGGAGCAAAGAGAAGAGCAUGGUCAGAUACUUUCGGUGCCUUCCUCAAGUUUUCUCAUCACCUUUCUUCCUCCCAACACUUGGAGGGAGGCAGCGCUACACUGCCAGGCCUGUUUGCACUGCCAGGAGUGGGGAGGCCAGGGCUUGAACCUGGUCUGUCUGAUAUAGGCCUCAAAUCUGGAUCCUGGGACCCGCCCCAACCAUCUGUCAAACCCUGUGACUCAACCCACUGGGACUGUGGAUGUCAGCAUGAGCUGCUGUGCCUGGCCCAGGGUGAGCAUGCAGAAAGGAGCCUGGGUGGUGUCAAGGGGGUGUCUAAGUAUGGGAAGAACUCAGAGUGAGGGCAGCCUUUGGGGCCACCACCAGCCCCCCCACUCACUUGGAGCAUGGUGGCACACACAAGGGCCUGACACUGAGGAACAGUGGGUGAGAGAAGAGGAUGGGGCUCACCAAUCUGACAAGCUGGAACAUCCAAGACUCCCCGCAGCAAGUCCCCCAGGGGGCUGUUCUCGUCCAAGUGCUGUGGGAAGCAAAGCCCACAGGUUCGUCAGCAGGCCUCCUGUAUACAUGCGUGUGAGGGGAUGUCUGUUGCAUACGACAAAUACAUCUUAUAAGUGUGCACAUGA